rnacentral:tRNA from 1 species
GGGGGUGUGGUGUAAUGACAGCACAGCGGGCUUUGAAUCCGCCGGAGAGAGGUUUAAUUCCUCCCACCCCUACCA